ACUUGAAUUGAAGAGUUUGAUCAUGGCUCAGAUUGAACGCUGGCGGCAGGCUUAACACAUGCAAGUCGAACGGUAGCAGGAGAAAGCUUGCUUUCUUGCUGACGAGUGGCGGACGGGUGAGUAAUGCUUGGGAAUCUGGCCUAUGGAGGGGGGAUAACGACGGGAAACUGUCGCUAAUACCGCGUAUUAUCGGAAGAUGAAAGUGCGGGACUGAGAGGCCGCAUGCCAUAGGAUGAGCCCAAGUGGGAUUAGGUAGUUGGUGGGGUAAAGGCCUACCAAGCCUGCGAUCUCUAGCUGGUCUGAGAGGAUGACCAGCCACACUGGAACUGAGACACGGUCCAGACUCCUACGGGAGGCAGCAGUGGGGAAUAUUGCGCAAUGGGGGGAACCCUGACGCAGCCAUGCCGCGUGAAUGAAGAAGGCCUUAGGGUUGUAAAGUUCUUUCGGUAUUGAGGAAGGUUGAUGUGUUAAUAGCACAUCAAAUUGACGUUAAAUACAGAAGAAGCACCGGCUAACUCCGUGCCAGCAGCCGCGGUAAUACGGAGGGUGCGAGCGUUAAUCGGAAUAACUGGGCGUAAAGGGCACGCAGGCGGUUAUUUAAGUGAGGUGUGAAAGCCCCGGGCUUAACCUGGGAAUUGCAUUUCAGACUGGGUAACUAGAGUACUUUAGGGAGGGGUAGAAUUCCACGUGUAGCGGUGAAAUGCGUAGAGAUGUGGAGGAAUACCGAAGGCGAAGGCAGCCCCUUGGGAAUGUACUGACGCUCAUGUGCGAAAGCGUGGGGAGCAAACAGGAUUAGAUACCCUGGUAGUCCACGCUGUAAACGCUGUCGAUUUGGGGGUUGGGGUUUAACUCUGGCGCCCGUAGCUAACGUGAUAAAUCGACCGCCUGGGGAGUACGGCCGCAAGGUUAAAACUCAAAUGAAUUGACGGGGGCCCGCACAAGCGGUGGAGCAUGUGGUUUAAUUCGAUGCAACGCGAAGAACCUUACCUACUCUUGACAUCCUAAGAAGAGCUCAGAGAUGAGCUUGUGCCUUCGGGAACUUAGAGACAGGUGCUGCAUGGCUGUCGUCAGCUCGUGUUGUGAAAUGUUGGGUUAAGUCCCGCAACGAGCGCAACCCUUAUCCUUUGUUGCCAGCG
rnacentral:rRNA from 1 species